rnacentral:rRNA from 1 species
AGAGUUUGAUCCUGGCUCAGGAUGAACGCUAGCGGCAGGCCUAACACAUGCAAGUCGAGGGGUAAGGUCUCUUCGGAGAUACACGACCGGCGCACGGGUGAGUAACGCGUUUGCAACCUACCUUCAACAGGGAGAUAGCUCUCGGAAACGGGAAUUAAUAUCCCAUAAUAUUUUUUUAUGGCAUCAUAGAAAGAUUAAAGCUCAGGCGGUUGAAGAUGGGCAUGCGUGACAUUAGCUAGUUGGUAAGGUAACGGCUUACCAAGGCUACGAUGUCUAGGGGGUCUGAGAGGAUGAUCCCCCACACUGGUACUGAGACACGGACCAGACUCCUACGGGAGGCAGCAGUGAGGAAUAUUGGGCAAUGGACGCAAGUCUGACCCAGCCAUGCCGCGUGCAGGAUGACUGCCCUAUGGGUUGUAAACUGCUUUUCUGCAGGAAGAAACUUCCCGACGUGUCGGACUUGACGGUACUGCAGAAUAAGCAUCGCUAAC